ACUUUUAGGGUGUAUAACGUAAUGCCGACAAUCAAAAUCUCGAAAUUUAGAAUCCCGACAGUCAAAAUACCGACAAAUCAAAACACCGACAAAUCAAAACACUGACAAAUCAAAAUACCAACAAAUCGAAACAUCGACAAACCACAAUACCGAUAAAUCAAGAAAAGGUGGCGUUGUUCGUCCGAGGCCCUGCGGCCUUCGGCCUCCGGCCACGAACACGCUCAGGAUCAUAACCCUUAGUCGGCAGAAUUCUCUUUCUGUGCUUCGAUAGAAAUAAGGGCAGACAAGGUAAAAUAUUUUUCACAUGUCGGCAUUUUGGUUUGUCGGUAUUUUGAUUUUUCGGUGUUCUGAUUUGUCGGUGUUUUGAUUUGUCGGUAUUUUGAUUUAGCUGCAUAUUUAAAUUUUGUCGGUAUUUUGAUAUGUCGACAUUUUGAAUUUCGAUAUUUUAAGUGUAUCCCAAAGGGGGUGUAUAACGUAAUGCCGACAAUCAAAAUCUCGAAAUUUAGAAUCCCGACAGUCAAAAUACCGACAAAUCAAAACACCGACAAAUCAAAACACUGACAAAUCAAAAUACCAACAAAUCGAAACAUCGACAAACCACAUUACCGACAAAUCAAGAAAAGGUGGCGUUGCUUGUUCGAAGUCCUGCGGCCUUCGGCCUCCGGCCACGAACACGCUCAGGAUCAUAACCCUUAGUCGGCAGAAUUCUCUUUCUGUGCUUCAAUAGAAAUAAGGGCAGGCAAGAUAAAAUAUUUUUCACAUGUCGGCAUUUUGGUUUGUCGGUAUUUUGAUUUUUCGGUGUUCUGAUUUGUCGGUGUUUUGAUUUGUCGGUAUUUUGAUUUAGCUGCAUAUUUAAAUUUUGUCGGUAUUUUGAUAUGUCGACAUUUUGAAUUUCGAUAUUUUAAGUGUAUCCCC